rnacentral:tRNA from 1 species
GCCGGAGUGGCGGAAUUGGCAGACGCGCACGGUUCAGGGCCGUGUUCGCUUCGGCGAGUGUGGGUUCGACCCCCACCUCCGGCA